rnacentral:rRNA from 1 species
GACGUAGGGCGCGAGCGUUGUCCGGAUUUAUUGGGCGUAAAGAGCUCGUAGGCGGCUUGUCGCGUCGUUCGUGAAAACCCGGGGCUCAACUCCGGGCUUGCGGGCGAUACGGGCAGGCUAGAGUUCGGUAGGGGAGACUGGAAUUCCUGGUGUAGCGGUGGAAUGCGCAGAUAUCAGGAGGAACACCAAUAGCGAAGGCAGCUCGCUGGGACGUUACUGACACUAAGGCGCGAAAGCGUGGGGAGCGAACAGG